rnacentral:rRNA from 1 species
UACGAAGGGGGCUAGCGUUGCUCGGAAUCACUGGGCGUAAAGCGCACGUAGGCGGCUUACUAAGUCAGGGGUGAAAUCCUGGAGCUCAACUCCAGAACUGCCUCCGAUACUGGCGAUCUUGGAGUCCGGGAGAGGUGAGUGGAACUCCGAGUGUAGAGGUGAAAUUCGUAGAUAUUCGGAAGAACACCAGUGGCGAAGGCGGCUCACUGGCCCGGUACUGACGCUGGAGGUGCGAAAGCGUGGGGAGCAAACAGG